rnacentral:rRNA from 1 species
CCUACGGGAGUCAGCAGUGAGGAAUAUUGGUCAAUGGGCGAAAGCCUGACGCAGCGACGCCGCGUGAGGGAUUAAGGUCUUCGGAUCGUACACCUCUGUCAGCAGGGAAGAACGGUCACUGUGCUAAUCAGCAGUGAAUUGACGGUACCUGCAAAGGAAGCACCGGCUAACUCCGUGCCAGCAGCCGCGGGAAUACGGAGGGUGCGAGCGUUAAUCGGCAUUACUGGGCGUAAAGCGCUCGUAGGCGGUAUGUCAAGUCAAGGGUGAAAUCCCCGCGCGCAACGUGGGAACUGCCUUUGAAACUGGCAAACUGGAGUGUGUGAGAGGAUAGUGGAAUUCCAGGUGUAGGAGUGAAAUCCGUAGAUAUCUGGAGGAACAUCAGUGGCGAAGGCGACUAUCUGGCACAUAACUGACGCUGAGGAGCGAAAGCGUGGGUAGCAAACAGGAUUAGAUACCCGAGUAGUC